GGCCGCGACGCCGGAAGAUGAGGCCGGCGGCCACUUCCCUAAGCCCGGAAAACCCCGGAGUCACCGCUUCUGCGCGGCGGAGCCCAUUCCCCGGAGCCGCUCCUGCCGCCCUCUUGCCUGCGCUCGGAGUGACCGGGUCCCCGGGCUGCGCGCCCGCGCGCCUCCCGCCUGACCCGGGGCUGGGCUUCCUCGUCAGUUCGCUCCCCAAAGUCGAGUUGUUUGGAAAGGACCAGUGAAAUAGAUCAUACUCUUGGCUAGCCAUACUAAGGGUCCUUCCUCAACAGGACUUGGCCUUUCUUUACUUGAUCAGUUCUGGGUCUGAGAAACUGCUCAGGGAUGGAAACUCGACAAAGGAUCAUGAUUUUUCCACUGGGACAACUGACAGGCUACUGCUCAAGUAGUCUUAUUUUUUUUAGUUUUAAAUACUCUUGCUGGUUUCUGUUAUGAGCUGAAUUGUGUUCUCCCAAAAUUCAUAUGUUGAAGUCGUACUGUGACCUAUUUGGAGAUAGGGCCUUUAGGGACAUAAUUAAGGUAGAAUGAGGUAAUUUGGGUAGGCCCGAAUCUAAUAUUACUGGUGUCCUUAUAAGAAUAAUAAAUUAGGGUACAGAUCACACACAGACUGAGGAGGCAACCAUGUGAGGACCCAAUGAGAAGGCAGCCAUCUUCAAGCCAAGAAAAGAGGCCUCAGAAGAAAUUGACCAUACCAAGAAUGUGACCUUGGACUUCUAGCUUCUAGAACAGUGAGGAAGAAACUGACCCUGCCAAAAAUUUGAUCUUGGACAUCUAGCUUCCAGAACUGUGAGGAAAUAAACUUCUAUUGUUUAA